rnacentral:rRNA from 1 species
CCUACGGUGGGCAGCAGUAGGGAAUAUUGCUCAAUGGGGGAAACCCUGAAGCAGCAACGCCGCGUGAAGGAUGAAGGUUUUCGGGUUGUAAACUCCUUUUGUUAGAGAAGAUAAUGACGUUAUCUAACGAAUAAUCACCGGCUAACUCCGUGCCAGCAGCCGCGGUAAUACGGAUGGUGCAAGCGUUACUCGGAAUCACUGGGCGUAAAGGGCGCGUAGGCGGGAUAGCAAGUCAGAUGUGAAAUGCUAUGGCUUAACCAUAGAACUGCAGUUGAAACUGUUAUUCUAGAGUAUGGGAGAGGUAGGUGGAAUUCUUGGUGUAGGGGUAAAAUCCGUAGAGAUCAAGAGGAACACUCAUUGCGAAGGCAACCUGCUAGAGCAUAACUGACGCUGAUGCGCGAAAGCGUGGGGAGCAAACAGGAUUAGAUACCCUAGUAGUC